CCUGGUUGAUCCUGCCAGUGGUCAUAUGCUUGUCUCAAAGAUUAAGCCAUGCAUGUCUAAGCAUAGCUGGUAACAGUGAAGCCGCGAAUAGCUCAUUACAACAGCCGUUGUUUCUUGGAUCUACUCUCUACUUGGAUAACUGUGGUAAUUCUAGAGCUAAUACAUGCAUCAAGACCCGACGCAAGGACGGUCGCAUUUAUUAGAACAAAACCCAUCCGGUCUUCGGACCGUACUUUGGUGACUCUGAAUAACUGAGCAAAUCACAUGGUCUCGCACCGGUGAUGUAUCUUUCAAGUGUCUGCCUUAUCAACUUUCGAUGGUAGUUUAUGUGCCUACCAUGGUUGUAACGGGUAACGGAGAAUCAGGGUUUGACUCCGGAGAGGGAGCCUGAGAAACGGCUACCACUUCUAAGGAAGGCAGCAGGCGCGCAAAUUACCCAUUCUCGGUACGAGGAGGUAGUGACGAAAAAUACCAAGCCGAGGCCCUUUGGGUUUCGGCAUUGGAAUGAGAACAAUCCAAAUCUUUUAACGAGGAUCUAGUGGAGGGCAAGUCUGGUGCCAGCAGCCGCGGUAAUUCCAGCUCCGCAAGUGUAUAUCUAUUUUGCUGAGUUUAAAAAGCUCGUAGUUGGAUCUGCGUGUUCAGCAUCUGGUGCGGUCUCUGGCCACUACUGGAAUGCGACACAUCGAAUGUCGGUUUGCCGUUGAUGCUCUUAACCGGGUGUCAGCGGUGGCUGAUGAGUUUACUUUGAACAAAUUAGAGUGCUCAACGCAGGCGUUUCGCUUGUAUAUUUCUGCAUGGAAUAAUAGAAUAGGACCUCGGUUCUAUUUUGUUGGUUUUCGGAAGUGAGGUAAUGAUUAAGAGGGACUGACGGGGGCAUUCGUACUGCGACGUGAGAGGUGAAAUUCUUGGAUCGUCGCAAGACGCACUACUGCGAAGGCAUUUGCCAAGAAUGUUUUCAUUAAUCAAGAACGAAAGUAACGGGUUCGAAGGCGAUCAGAUACCGCCCUAGCCGUUACCGUAAACAAUAUUGACUGGGAGCAUGUCGGAGUUUCCAAGAACCCGAUAUGAACCCAACGGGAAACCUCAAGUUAAUUACUGGGGGAGUACGAUUGCAAAUUCGAAACUUAAAGGAAUUGACGGAAGGGCACCACCAGGGGUGGAGCCUGCGGCUUAAUUUUACCCAACACGGGGAAACUCACCCGGCCCGGACACCGGAAGGAUUGACAGAUUGAGAGCUCUUUCUUGAUUCGAUGGGUGGUGGUGCAUGGCCGUUCUUAGUUGGUGGAGUGAUUUGUCUGGUUAAUUCCGAUAACGAACGAGACUCUGGCCUACUAAAUAGUCGUCGGAUCGC
rnacentral:rRNA from 1 species